rnacentral:misc_RNA from 1 species
UAAUGGGUGUUGGAAAUAAAGAUAAUAUAUUAUUAUCUUUAAUUGACAAAUAAUGGAUGGGUUAAAUAAUCCUUUG